CCGGGAGCCGGGAGCGGCUGCGCGCGUCGCCACAACGGCCUCUGAGAGGCUGCGCUCCAUGGCCGGCAGAGGGCGCACGGGCUUGGGGAGCCCUCCUAGUCACGGUGGGACUGUGGCUAAACUGCGCAGAAGCUGGAGGCUCAGGAAGAAAUCCCUCUUGUUCGGGAGGAUGGAAGCCUUGGUGCGCUUGUGCCUCUCUGUCGUCUCAGACCUGCACAGCCCGCUCUGUUCCCUUCCCCAUCUUCUCUCCCCGGACUUCCUUUAAUUCAGAGGGAAAGGACUACUUUUCUGCUCCAAAAUACGGGCCUUCGCUAUCAAUACUGUAACAAUGUAAAAUUUCAGGAGGAAAGACUACCAACUUUCUUAGGUGCCUCCUUUUCCCUCUACCUCGCCCCUCAAAACACGGUAUCCAUACUGAAGCUGUUCAUUUUGUUAUCGACUUCCUUAAAUUGUCAUGCUGAUGCCAGCUGUAAAGUUCUGGUUCAAGAACAGGCAAGCUACAGUGAAUUGCAAAAGAUUCAAGAACUACCAGGGAAUCCUGGCUGUGGGUCGCAUGAUAGACCUGCCUCCCCUAUAGGCUGUGUCCUUCUUGUCACAUCUGCCAGUACAGAUUCCCUGUGCCAGAGCCCUUCCAGAAUCAGCUGUACUCCUCAACUUAGGCUCUCCAGGAAUUCAUCUGACCAUGCAUCCAACUUAUCUAUCAUUGAUCAGGAGAAAUGCUUCAGGAGGAGCUCAGCUAGGAAGAGAUGGCAGAGGCAAAAGAGUAUAGAAAACCAAUUGGGAAAUAAGGCCACUAAUCGUGUGGUAGGUGUGGAAUUCCCAAAGAUUGUGUCCCUCUUGCUGGGUCAGAUAACUCACAAUCUGUGUGUGAGAGAGCCAUCCAUUUUCAGCAAGCCUCCUGUACUCAGCUUUUUGAAUAUUUCCCCAAACUCAGAAUCCAUCUUCUCCAUGCAUCAGAGAUGAUUGAUCACUUGUGAGCUUUCCUCAACUCAGCCACUUGAAUAACUCUCUAGACCAGAGACAGUUGGGGAUCUGUUCUCCUCCUCCAAUCAGUGCCUCCAUCAUUUCUCCAGACUCAGAAUCCAUCUUAUCCAUGAGUGAGAGCACAUCUAGUGUCAGCUCUCCUCCACCACUCAGCCUAAGUAUUUUCCCAGAACUGGAUUCCAUCCUCUCCAUUGAUGAGACCAAUGAGUGUCUCUUAUAUGAAGCCGUGAAGCUGGCCAUGCUCCCAACAGUGGGAGACAGAAUCCCGAGUCAGUCAGCACAUUGUGCAUCUUCUGCAAACCCAGCUCCAGUCCAAGAUGCAGACCCAACACAAGCUCCAGAAUCCAGCACAGCUUCAACAGCAGCUCCAGGGGCAAUGGGAAGAGGCAUUGGAUCCUGAACCAGAUCUGGAAUGACAAAAAAAGAAAUCAGAAGACCUGGCAGCCUCAGACUGUCACAAUGUGAAGAUCC
rnacentral:lncRNA from 1 species